rnacentral:rRNA from 1 species
UACGUAGGGUGCAAGCGUUUGUCCGGAAUUAUUGGGCGUAAAGAGCUCGUAGGCGGUCUGUCGCGUUUGCUGUGAAAACUCAGGGCUUAACCCUGAGCUUGCAGUGGGUACGGGCAGACUAGAGUGCGGUAGGGGAGACUGGAAUUCCUUGGUGUAGCGGUGAAAUGCGCAGAUAUCAGGAGGAACACCGGGUGGGCGAAAGGCGGGGUCUCUGGGCC